rnacentral:tRNA from 1 species
UCCCUGGAGGACUAGUGGUUAGGCCACAGCACUCUCACUGCUGUGACCUGGGUUCGAUUCCCAGCCAGGAAA